rnacentral:tRNA from 1 species
UGGGGAGUGGCGCAAUGGUAGCGCAACGGUUUUUGGUACCGCAGGUUGCAGGUUCGAAUCCUGCCUCCCCAGCCA